rnacentral:snRNA from 1 species
GGAUGUGAGGGUAAUCUGGCUGUGACAUCUGUCACCCUAUUGAUUGCCAGGGUUGAUUCAGCUGGUGUCUGGCUUUCUAGGCAGGUGUCGCCUUCCUCCCUCACCACUCUGCGUGCAUCCCUCCCAAAGAUGCGCGCUUGGUGGAAGAGGACAACCAUCCCUGAUAGAGGUAGACCGUUCUUUGGUUAAGGGUAUAUGAGUAGCUGCGCUCCCCUGCUAGAACCUCCAAACAGGCUCUCAAGGUGUAUUUAUAGGAGAACAUAGGGUAGUCAAGCUUCCAAGACUCCAGACACAUCCAAAUGAGGUGCUGCACGUGGCAGUCUGCCUUUCUUU